rnacentral:rRNA from 1 species
GACGAACGCUGGCGGCGUGCUUAACACAUGCAAGUCGAGCGGUAAGGCCCUUCGGGGUACGACGAGCGGCGAACGGGUGAGUAACACGUGGGUAACCUGCCCUCAGCUCUGGGAUAAGCCCGGGAAACUGGGUCUAAUACCGGAUAUCACCUUGGGAGGCAUCUUCCGGGGGUUGAAAGUUUUUGGCGGCUGAGGAUGGGCCCGCGGCCUAUCAGCUUGUUGGUGGGGUAGUGGCCUACCAAGGCGACGACGGGAGCCGGCCUGAGAGGGCGACCGGCCACACUGGGACUGAGACACGGCCCAGACUCCUACGGGAGGCAGCAGUGGGGAAUAUUGCACAAUGGGCGAAAG